UUUAACUUUGUGUUCCCUAACAGUUGAAAUCGUAGUUGCAAGAUUUGUGUUUGAGGAGGAAGAUUUUGUGAGGGCUUUGGAAGUUAAAAUUGAUAACAUCUCGAGGGAUUGGAAAGGAGCAACGGUUGAGGAAGACGCAACAGAGUUGGAAGAAGAAAGAAACAUUCUAUAACGGAGAAAAUGAAGAAAAUAUAAAUGCAAGAUUAUACGCUGAAACUUUAUGAUGCAACGGAGUUG